rnacentral:tRNA from 1 species
GGAAGCGUGGCCGAGUGGUUUAAGGCACUGGUCUUGAAAACCAGCGAGGGCUGACGCCCUCCGUGAGUUCGAAUCUCACCGCUUCCGCCA